UAUUCUUUCAGGGGGUCAGUGCUAAGAUGAGGCGACAACACAUUCCUCAGUGAUCUGGAAGAGGAGUCACUUCUGUUUUCCACUGACUAUGUUGUGAUUUAGGAAUAAUAAGCUAAAGAUGUAUUUGCUCUGGCCAGAAGUUCUCAGAAGGCAAGAACAGAGGAUCAAACGUAUAUCUUUCUGGAGGAGACACUUCAAGGAGACCCUGAUCUCCACUUCUGUGUCAGGAGCAACUAUGAACUGCAAUUCUCCAGGGUUGAUGGCAAGACUGGGCAGAAAUAAUACAAAAAUUCCAAGGAACAAAUGGAUGUUGGAAGUGGAGAAACUAGCCUAGAUUUGAGGUUAAUGAGUGAAUCUUUGAUCAAAGUCAAGGUCUAUAAUAAUGAGGAAGAUGGUGAUGGCCAUCACUGAUUGAGCACUUACUACAUGCCAGAUGCCACGCUCUUUGUGGCUAUUGAGUCUUCACAACAGCUCCAUGAGAUAGGACCUGUGACUAUCCUCAUCUUACAGGCAAGUUUGCUCCAAGGCAGAGGAUGGUCAUAGGUUGGAUGGCUCUUGGGACCUCGCUUUCACUCCUGUGCUCCUGCAGUCCCUUCGCUCUUCUCCCAGCUCUCUCUGCUCGGCGACGUCAACGCUUGCUCAUGCUUAAAAGCUGCCUGCAAAUGUCAGCUCCUGUGAUGCAGCCUUCUACAAAUUCCCUCUCCAAAGUGAAAAACUCCCUCCUCCAGGCUCUCCCAGCCUUCAUCUGUGCCAUGACCUACUUUACCAACCACAUCCUGCUGGAGUGAUCGUCUGUGAGUCUGUUACCCCCAUCUGGACUCGUGUGUGUAUCUUUCAUCUCUGUUUCCAUGGGCCUAGCACAGUGCCUUCCCAGGCAGAUAAUUUCAAAAUUCUAAGUUUAAGGCCCUCUGUGAACAGGGCUGGGCCAGAUGGCAUCUUGGCAUCCUUUGUAAAAUGAGCUGCCUUCUCCACUUAAGACCUUCCACCCAAGGGAGAGAUCCCUCCCUGAGCAGGGGCACACUCUCAGCCUCAGGACUAGGGCUGCGCUGGGCUUCCAUGAUGACAAUUCAGUGACUGAAGGUGGGUGGUGAGGGUGACCUCCCCCAGCAAA